rnacentral:rRNA from 1 species
UUAAGUCCCAUAACGAGCGCAACCCUUACUGUUAGUUGCCAGCGGGUCAAGCCGGGAACUCUAACGGGACUGCCACCGUAAGGUGAGAGGAAGGUGGGGAUGACGUCAAAUCAGCACGGCCCUUAUGUCCAGGGCUACACACGUGUUACAAUGGUCGGUACAAAGGGCAGCUACACCGCGAGGUGAUGCUAAUCUCUAAAGCCGGUCUCAGUUCGGAUCGAAGUCUGCAACCCGACUUCGUGAAGUUGGAUUCGCUAGUAAUCGCGCAUCAGCCAUGGCGCGGUGAGUACGUUCCCGGGCCUU